rnacentral:rRNA from 1 species
GAUGAACGCUGGCGGCGUGCCUAAUACAUGCAAGUCGAGCGAAUGGAUUAAGAGCUUGCUCUUAUGAAGUUAGCGGCGGACGGGUGAGUAACACGUGGGUAACCUGCCCAUAAGACUGGGAUAACUCCGGGAAACCGGGGCUAAUACCGGAUAACAUUUUGAACCGCAUGGUUCGAAAUUGAAAGGCGGCUUCGGCUGUCACUUAUGGAUGGACCCGCGUCGCAUUAGCUAGUUGGUGAGGUAACGGCUCACCAAGGCAACGAUGCGUAGCCGACCGGAGAGGGUGAUCGGCCACACUGGGACUGAGACACGGCCCAGACUCCUACGGGAGGCAGCAGUAGGGAAUCUUCCGCAAUGGACGAAAGUCUGACGGAGCAACGCCGCGUGAGUGAUGAAGGCUUUCGGGUCGUAAAACCCUGUUGUUAGAGAAGAACAAGUGCUAGUUGAAUAAGCUGGCACCUUGACGGUACCUAACCAGAAAGCCACGGCUAACUACGUGCCAGCAGCCGCCGAAA